rnacentral:rRNA from 1 species
GAAACCAACAGGGAUUGCCCCAGUAACGGCGAGUGAAGCGGCAACAGCUCAAAUUUGAAAUCUGGCCCUCCCUUUCGGGGGCCCGAGUUGUAAUUUGCAGAGGAUGCUUCUGGCGCGGCGCCUUCCGAGUUCCCUGGAACGGGACGCCAUAGAGGGUGAGAGCCCCGUCUGGUUGGACGCCUAGCCUCUGUGAAGCACCUUCGACGAGUCGAGUAGUUUGGGAAUGCUGCUCAAAAUGGGAGGUAUAUGUCUUCUAAAGCUAAAUACCGGCCAGAGACCGAUAGCGCACAAGUAGAGUGAUCGAAAGAUGAAAAGCACUUUGAAAAGAGGGUUAAACAGUACGUGAAAUUGUUGAAAGGGAAGCGCUCAUGACCAGACUUGGGCCCCGCGCAUCACCCGGCGUUCUCGCCGGGGCACUUCGCAGGGCCCAGGCCAGCAUCGGUUCGCGGCGGGGGACAAAGGCUUCGGGAACGUGGCUCCCUCGGGAGUGUUAUAGCCCGCUGCGCAAUGCCCUGCUGCGGACCGAGGUUCGCGCUUUCCGCAAGGAUGCUGGCGUAAUGGUCAUCAGCGAC